CCGGCGACCGGCGCACGGGUGAGUAACACGUAUGGAACCUGCCGCAGCAGGGGGAUAAGCGGAAGAAAUUCCGUCUAAUACCGCGUAACAACGUUGGGAGGCAUCUCCCGAUGUUUAAAGAUUUAUCGGCUGCGGAUGGCCAUGCGGCGCAUUAGCUAGUCGGCGGGGUAACGGCCCACCGAGGCGACGAUGCGUAGGGGUUCUGAGAGGAAGGUCCCCCACACUGGUACUGAGACACGGACCAGACUCCUACGGGAGGCAGCAG
rnacentral:rRNA from 1 species